CCUACGGGUGGCAGCAGUGAGGAAUAUUGGUCAAUGGGCGUAAGCCUGAACCAGCCAAGUCGCGUGAGGGAUGAAGGUUCUAUGGAUCGUAAACCUCUUUUAUAGGGGAGUAAAUUGUGGGACGUGUCCUGUUUUGUAUGUACCUUAUGAAUAAGGAUUGGCUAACUCCGGGCCAGCAGCCGGGGUAAUACGGAGGAUCCGAGCGUUAUCCGGAUUUAUUGGGGUUAACGGGUGUGUAGGCGGGCUUUUAAGUUCGCGGUGAAAGUCUGUGGGUUAACCAUAGUGCUGCCGUUGAAACUGGGAGGCUUGAGUAUGGUAGAGGUAGGCGGAAUGCGUGGUGUAGCGGUGAAAUGCGUAGAUAUCACGCAGAACCCCGAUUGCGAAGGCAGCCUGCCAGGCCAUGACUGACGCUGAGGCACGAAAGCGUGGGGAUCAAACAGGAUUAGAUACCCUUGUAGUC
rnacentral:rRNA from 1 species